UACGAAGGGGGCUAGCGUUGCUCGGAAUCACUGGGCGUAGAGGGUGCGUAGGCGGGUCUUUAAGUCAGGGGUGAAAUCCUGGAGCUCAACUCCAGAACUGCCUUUGAUACUGAAGAUCUUGAGUUCGGGAGAGGUGAGUGGAACUGCGAGUGUAGAGGUGAAAUUCGUAGAUAUUCGCAAGAACACCAGUGGCGAAGGCGGCUCACUGGCCCGGUACUGACGCUGAGGUGCGAAAGCGUGGGGAGCAAACAGG
rnacentral:rRNA from 1 species